CCUACGGGUGGCAGCAGUGGGGAAUAUUGGGCAAUGGGCGCAAGCCUGACCCAGCAACGCCGCGUGAAGGAAGAAGGCUUUCGGGUUGUAAACUUCUUUUCUUAGGGGCGAAACAUGUGACGUUACCUCUGGAAUAAGCCACGGCUAACAACGUGCCAGCAGCCGCGGCGAUACGUCGGUGGCAAGAGUUAUCCGGAAUUACUGGGUGUAAAGGUCGUGUAGGCGGGAAUGCAAGUCAGAUGUGAAAACUAUGGGCUCAACCUGUGGACUGCAGUUGACACUGGUUUUCUUGAGUACUGGAGAGGUAGACGGAAUGCCUGGUGUAGUGGUGAAAUGCGUAGAUAUGAGGAGGAACACCAGUGGCGAAGGCGGUCUGCUGGACAGUAACUGACGCUGAGGCGCGAAAGCGUGGGGAGCAAACAGGAUUAGAUACCCUGGUAGUC
rnacentral:rRNA from 1 species